rnacentral:ncRNA from 1 species
GGGGAUCUACGGAGCCCUAUAACCUCGGGUCCAAGUUAUCGGGCCCGCUAGCUGACGGAAGACAGAAA